AGCAGGGUGGUGAAGAGACAAGCAGAACAUAUCCAGCAUUGUGAAGAACCUCAGUGGUUGCCAUGAGAACCUCAAUGGUUGCCAUGAGAACUUCUGUGGUUGCCAUAAUGGGUCUUCCACUAGAAUUACACCCAGAGACAUGCUACCUGUGCCCAUCCCCACUCAUUCUUCUCCACUGGAAAUGGAAUGACAUGCAAGUACUGCCUCUGGGAGAAGGAAGCAUACUCUACGAUAAGCUCAGUUGGGUCUCAAAAGUUCCAGCUUUACAAAUAGCUUCUUCAUUAAAUGCUCCUGAUGUUAACUUAUAGGCAUCACUUCACAUUGACCUUGUGAAAGGAGAACACCUGAGCGGGUAUUUCGAAGCUUUUCAACUUCACUGUAAAAUGUCACAGGGCAGAGAAUGUACUUGGGAAGAUGAGCUUGCAUGGAGCCAGGCAAAGCGGAUUACAAUCUGGGCUGUCUUCUCAUAUUGAAUAGGAGCAGUGGGAGAUUUUGAUCAGAGAAGAGGAGAAGGUCACGUGACCAUAGAGGCAGCGACUGGAGUGAUGUGGCCAUAAACCAAGGAAGACAAGGAUUGCUGGCAGCCACAGAAAGCUGGAAGAGGCCAGGAGUGAUCCUCCCCUGGAGCCUCCGGAAGGAGUGUGGCCCUGCUGAUACCAUGAUGUUGGACUUCUGGCCUGCAGCACUGUGAAACAAUAAAUUUCAGUUGUUUUAAACCGCGAAGUUUCUGGGGAAGUGAUACUUAUUAAGCACCUGCCUCUAUGUGUCUGCCACUAUUUACAUCAACUCAUGUUGAUGUAAAUAACUCAAAAUAACUCCCAAGAGUUAGGCAUUGCUGCAUCAUCUGUGUGGUUAAAUUCAAAAGUUGCAAGAUAGCUACAAAUCUACAUGAAAUUAAAAUAAUCUUUGAAGAUGCUGUUUCUCAUUAUGUUUUUCCUGCUGAGUUGGGUGAAGAUGCUUUCUUUAAUUGAACCCUGGCUAAAGUAGCUAGUUGUUGGCUUGCAUUUAGCAGAGCCUUGCUAUGUAAAAUGCCUUUAUCUUGUUUUAAAGAGGUGUGAUUAUUCCUCAGCAAGACAAAAGGCUCAGGCUGUGAAAAGCAUGAGGGAACUGAAUGAAAUCCAGACCAUCUUCCUCUUACACAGGGCACAGCUCCCUCAGAGGGAAGGCAGGAAGAACUACCUGUGAAUUGUCAUUUUUUACCCACUCCCUGGCACACAGUAAGCUCCAAGUAAGUGUUAACUAUUCUUUAACUGUGAUUCAACCUGCAAUGUUUUCAAACUGGUGGGGGAUUGCUUGUAUUUGCCAUGGUGUUAUUUGAGUCUGUUUGUGGAAGUGAGGCAUGAGAAUAGGGUCUGGAGGCAGGGAAUCUAAGGACUUCCUAGAACCACAUCAAAUGGAAACACUUCAGUUAUGACAGGAAGUAUCCUUUCUAUUUACACAGGGCCUAAACUGAGUAAGUGACUUUGUAACUUUACUUCAUCCUCUUUGUUUACAUAGGGCGAACACCAAGUAACCAAUGGAAGCCUCUAGCAGAUAUUUAAACCGCAGAAAAUUCUGUAAGGGUGCUCUUGAGCCCCUAUGCUUGGGCCCGCUCCCACCCUAUGGAGUGCACUUCAUUUUGAAUAAAUCUCUGUUUUUGUUGCUUCA